GUGCAGUUUUAGGACGUCUACGAAGAAUCUGAAAAGAUUAACAUGGGCCUGUUAUCGGCAAUCGCGGUCAACGCCAUAGGCGGUGCUAUCAUAUACGGUACUGGCGGACUCGGCGCGGCAUGGGUUGCGCCAAUGCUGGGCUUUAGUAGCGGCGGCAUUGUAGCAGGCAGCACCGCCGCCGCCGCUCAAGCCUACUAUGGCAACGUAGCCGCUGGGAGCAUCGUAUCCCAGUUGACUGCCAUCGCUAUGGCAUCACCAACACCUUAAAACCCAGAUUGCUCGAUUUCUUAAGGAAAUUGGAAUAAAUGGGUUAUAAUUAAAUUAUGUGUUUUAAUUUACCUUAUAUAUCCGGUAAAGUGAAGCCGAAUUUUUAAUUAGUUAUUCAGUUUUUUAAGACUUUAUUUUUAAUCUGAAAACCUCGUGUUUUUUAAUCUAUGCAUUUGUAAACAAUUCGAUUUUCUAAUCUAAAUAAAUAAUAAUUACUGUCGUUUA